rnacentral:rRNA from 1 species
UACGUAGGGUGCGAGCGUUAAUCGGAAUUACUGGGCGUAAAGCGUGCGCAGGCGGUCUGUUAAGACAGAUGUGAAAUCCCCCGGGCUUAACCUGGGAACUGCAUUUGUGACUGGCAGGCUAGAGUAUGGCAGAGGGGGGGUAGAAUUCCACGUGUAGCAGUGAAAUGCGUAGAGAUGUGGAGGAAUACCGAUGGCGAAGGCAGCCCCCCUGGGCCAAUACUGACGCUCAUG